UGCUACCUACGGGAGGCAGCAGUGGGGAAUAUUGCACAAUGGGGGAAACCCUGAUGCAGCAACGCCGCGUGAGUGAAGAAGUAUUUCGGUAUGUAAAGCUCUAUCAGCAGGGAAGAAGAAGGACGGUACCUGACUAAGAAGCCCCGGCUAACUACGUGCCAGCAGCCGCGGUAAUACGUAGGGGGCGAGCGUUAUCCGGAUUUACUGGGUGUAAAGGGAGCGUAGACGGUUUUUCAAGUCUGAAGUGAAAGCCCGCGGCUCAACUGCGGAACGGCUUUGGAAACUGAGGGACUAGAGUGCUGGAG
rnacentral:rRNA from 1 species